CCUCUCCCUUCAAGCACCACUUUCACACACUCUUCCAAGGUUCCACUUGGACCUCUUGCCAGCAACUGGCAAUCAUGCAAACAAUGUGGGACCAUACCUGCAGAGAUAAUUAGAGUUCUUCAAUGUGUGUUUGUUUAAAGUUGUGCAUGCGAGAAGGGGCCGAACAUCGCCAUUUAGCCUUGAGCAUUACUUUCAAAACUACAAUGAUAAAAACUGUCUAUAGUGCUAACGAGUGAAGACGAAAGACUGAUUUGCCCUGAUGAAUACCCAUUAAAGCCACAACCUGCUGAGAAGAGUGUUCCCAGACCCCGGGAGACUGAGACUGUUUGGGGGCGAGUCCCACACCACCCCAGCUUUUCCUGUCGGAUGCAUCCGAGAAGUGGGUUUUAGUACACGACUUGGAAGAGGUGACCUUGAGAUCAUCAGCCAAACAAUAAGCCAAUGGGAGUGCAUGUGACCAGCCUGCGCAAGUUCUCCCUGCUGGCGUUCUCCGAGGGGGUGGACGUGUGGCGCCUGGCACUGCAGGAGAGGAGGCAUGCUGUGACGUGGUGCAGUGGGGCAUAUCAACACCCAUGAGGGAACCAACCGCCUGGACGACCUGCAGGCAUUGAGCAUGUUACUCUACCAAGGAGAGGAGGUAACAUCGAGACACUACUACUACAGAGGGAGGCCUACUGGAUCUCCCAUCGAAAAACAUUGACCCCUCGUGGUCUCAGGCCCUUCAUAUGGACAAUUUGAUGAUGCUUAGUAUGCAUUAUGGUUGAACCAAAAAAUGACAUGUAACAAAAAUGUAAUUCAAUUGGGAAAA